CAGACUGACCUCUCCUGGCCAGACCCUGCCAAGCAGCUUGGAAAAGAGAAAGGAUGAGGAGUCAUCCAUGUGUUCAUUGUUUUCUUACCACCUUCCCCCCAAAGAGAGGGAAGAAAGGGGACAAAGAGGAAAUCAGAAGGAGUAAGUUGGCCCUCCCACCCUCCAGCCUCCCCCUCUCCCCCAGACUCCCAGCUGUCGGCCUAAAAUCACAAAGCCUUUUCGCUCAAAAUCCAGAGGAAAAAAAAAAAGAGAGGAAAGCGGAGGGAAGAGAAGAAGCAGCAGUGAAUUUCAAAAGGAGGGCUAAUUUGUGCAGAGCCGGACAGCUGCAUUUGCAUAAUGAAAUGUGCAGAGGAUGUUUGGCUCAUGUAUUUUUUAGAAGGUUUAACUUUAAUUUUAUUUAGCCUAAGAAGGGCAUGUCACUCAAACUCCGCUGGUCAUUUAUAAAAAUAUUUCAAUUGUGUUUCCAAGGAGCUGUCUUUCUGGCCUAAGUGGCUGGUGCCGGAGGUUGUGAAUGCUAAUGCAGAGGUCGGGAGAUCGAUGGGGAGGGAGAGCAGGAGAGAAAAAACUGGGAGGGGCAGAGACACCCAGAAAGAGACACCGAAGACGCAAAGAAGAAAGGACAAGCAGGGAGACAAAGAAAGAAAGAGUGUGGAGUGGGACAAGGACCACCGGACUCAAAAGAAGCAGGUCAGGAAAGGAAAAGGCAGAAAGACAAGCAAACUCCCAGGGUCGUGUGUUGGGAGACAGGCCAGCAUAUGGGCCUUAGACAGGCGCCCCCACCUCCUUCUCCUCCGGCCCCUCUGCGGACACCCAGAAGUGACAGCCAUCGCCUCGCUGAGUUCAUCCCAGCCAAGGACAAAUGGAUUUCACAGUUUAUCAAGGGAGGAAGGGGCGUGUCACAGACUCAUCAACCGUGACCCACCUUUGGUCCCUGCUUUCCUGCCUGGUCUCAGCCACAGCUCCCUGGCCAGAGCUUCCUCACUGGGCUGGCUCCCAGGCCCUGCCUCCGGGGAUCAGCAAGGCUGAGAGAGAUGUCACCCUCGAUCUUCUGUGCUGUUCGGUGCCUGCCAGAGCCUCUGCCCCACCUGGCCAUGAGACCCUGCCUCUUAUCUGGGGCUCUCCACUCCGCAGGCAAGACAAAACCCCAGGACGCGGCGGAUGAAAUAAUACAUGCUCCCUCUCUAGAUUUCGCUCUCUGCUAUUAACUUUUUCUGCUUCUCUACCUUCUCCAGCCUCAUUUGAGACAAUAAUAAACGCUUCUCAUCCUCACCGCCA